rnacentral:rRNA from 1 species
GUGGGGAAUAUUGGACAAUGGGCGAAAGCCUGAUCCAGCAAUGCCGCGUGAGUGAUGAAGGCCUUAGGGUUGUAAAGCUCUUUUACCCGGGAUGAUAAUGACAGUACCGGGAGAAUAAGCCCCGGCUAACUCCGUGCCAGCAGCCGCGGUAAUACGAAGGGGGCUAGCGUUGUUCGGAAUUACUGGGCGUAAAGGGCGCGUAGGCGGCGCAUUAAGUCAGGUGUGAAAGCCCUGGGCUCAACCCAGGAAUUGCACUUGAUACUGAUGUGCUUGAAUCCGGAAGAGGAUGACGGAAUUCCCAGUGUAGAGGUGAAAUUCAUUGAUAUUGGGAAGAACACCAGUGGCGAAGGCGGUCAUCUGGUCCGGUAUUGACGCUGAGGCGCGAAAGCGUGGGGAGCAAAC